rnacentral:rRNA from 1 species
AGUGAACGCUGGCGGUAGGCCUAACACAUGCAAGUCGAACGGCAGCACAGUAAGAGCUUGCUCUUACGGGUGGCGAGUGGCGGACGGGUGAGGAAUACAUCGGAAUCUACUUUUUCGUGGGGGAUAACGUAGGGAAACUUACGCUAAUACCGCAUACGACCUACGGGUGAAAGCAGGGGAUCUUCGGACCUCGCGCGAUUGAAUGAGCCGAUGUCGGAUUAGCUAGUUGGCGGGGUAAAGGCCCACCAAGGCGACGAUCCGUAGCUGGUCUGAGAGGAUGAUCAGCCACACUGGAACUGAGACACGGUCCGGACUCCUACGGGAGGCAGCAGUGGGGAAUAUUGGACAAUGGGCGCAAGCCUGAUCCAGCCAUACCGCGUGGGUGAAGAAGGCGUUCGGGUUGUAAAGACCUUUUGUUGGGAAAGAAAAGCAGCAGGUUAAUACCCCGCUGUUCUGACGGUACCCAAAAAAUAAGCACCGGCUAACUUCGUG